UGGCUAACUCCGUGCCAGCAGCCGCGGUAAUACGGAGGGGGCUAGCGUUAUUCGGAAUUAUUGGGCGUAAAGGGCGCGUAGGCGGAUUAAUAAGUUAAAAGUGAAAUCCCAAGGCUUAACCUUGGAAUUGCUUUUAAAACUGUUAAUCUAGAGAUUGAAAGAGGAUAGAGGAAUUCCUAAUGUAGAGGUGAAAUUCGUAAAUAUUAGGAGGAACACCAGUGGCGAAGGCGUCUAUCUGGUUCAAAUCUGACGCU
rnacentral:rRNA from 1 species